rnacentral:tRNA from 1 species
UCCCUAAUAGCUCAGUUGGUAAAGUUUCCACCUGCAAUGUGGGAGGCCCCAGUUCAAUUCCUGGGUUGGGAA